rnacentral:rRNA from 1 species
UUGAACGCUGGCGGCAGACCUAACACAUGCAAGUCGAACGGUAACAGGAAGAAGCUUGCUUCUUUGCUGACGAGUGGCGGACGGGUGAGUAAUGUCUGGGAAACUGCCUGAUGGAGGGGGAUAACUACUGGAAACGGUAGCUAAUACCGCAUAACGUCGCAAGACCAAAGAGGGGGACCUUCGGGCCUCUUGCCAUCGGAUGUGCCCAGAUGGGAUUAGCUAGUAGGUGGGGUAACGGCUCACCUAGGCGACGAUCCCUAGCUGGUCUGAGAGGAUGACCAGCCACACUGGAACUGAGACACGGUCCAGACUCCUACGGGAGGCAGCAGUGGGGAAUAUUGCACAAUGGGCGCAAGCCUGAUGCAGCCAUGCCGCGUGUAUGAAGAAGGCCUUCGGGUUGUAAAGUACUUUCAGCGGGGAGGAAGGGAGUAAAGUUAAUACCUUUGCUCAUUGACGUUACCCGCAGAAGAAGCACCGGCUAACUCCGUG